CAAAAAUUAGCUGGGCGUAGUGGUGGGCGCUUGUAACCCCAGUUACUCAGGAGGCUGAGACAGGAGAAUCAUUUGAACCCACGAGGCGGAGGUUGCGGUGAGCUAAGAUCACACCAUUGUACUCCAGCCUGGGCAACAAGAGCGAAACCUCAUCGCAAAAAAAAAAAGAAAAACAUAGAAAAAUUUAAAUUUAUAUAGAAUAGGUCAAUCUUCAGAAACAAUGUUAGCUCGGAAGAAGUUAAUGUCCCAUCAAUCCUUCUUUUCCAUAACAGACUGUUUUUGCCGAAUGUAUACCUAAAAAUCAAAUGUUCUAAGGACAUACGCUAUACAUUUUAAAUCUUUAAUUAGACAUCUGCACAUUUAAUCUAAGGCUAUUAUAUAGUUUUAGAUUAACAUGACUUAUUAUGAUUUUUUUAAUACUCUGAGGUAAACUACUAUCAAUUUGCUCUUGGCUAUAUCCUCUGUACCCAAAACAGUGCCUGUAUAUUUUAAAUAACGUAAAUGAAAAUGGAUGUUAGAGAAGGGGAGGGAAGGCCAGUAUUGUUUUCAAUAAAGCCUAAAUCACUUCAAAAUUUAAUGUAAACAAAAUAUGUAUUUUCCCCCAAGCACUUAUAUACCAGGACCACUGUGUAUGUCAUGCCAAACACGCAAAGCACCAUAAAGUGUUGCAAUGUGGUUUAAAAUUUUCAAGUAUCUUAAAGAAAGAGUAGUCCAGCUAUUUCAUUUUCUAUCUUGGAUAGAUUUAUGUUUAAGAAUGUGAAUUUUAAAAUACACACCACUUAGUUAAAUUCUAUCAGAAAUAUAUUUUAAAUCUUUAAAAGUCUCUUGUUUCUUAACACCCAUGUACUUUUAUUUUAUAAUGCAUGAUUGAGAUUCUUUCAUGUUGAUUUCAACCUUAAUUCCUAACAAAAUAGAAUUCAAAAUUCACCAACGACUCUUAUUAUAGAAGACUUGUGUAUGUAUAUAUAUCUCACAUAGAGCUUUAAUCAAAACUAGCUUUAUAAAUUUAGUAUGUGCAAACACCCACCUAAUAUGAUUCUAUAAGAAUGGUAUGAAACUGUCUUAUGUGCAAGGAAAAAAACAUUUCCAAAAACAAUCAACUCCUUAAGGAGAAAAAAUGAAGGUAAAGAAAUUAAUAUAAAUAGUAUUAAUCAAAAUUUUUAU
rnacentral:lncRNA from 10 species